rnacentral:tRNA from 1 species
UGCCUCGUAGCUCAGCUGGUAGAGCGUGCGCGUACAAAGCGUAGGCGGCGUCAAUGCGUGGGUUCGAAUCCCACGGAAGCUA